AGAACAAAGACCAGGAAGACGGUGGAGACCGCCGCCACGGCCACCACCAGAUAGAGAGUGAACCCUGAAGUUUCGGAGGUGGAAGGAGAUUCUAGAUUGUCUAGAUCCGCCAGGACGUCGGGGAUGCUGUCGGCGAUCGCCACAGUGAGCGUGACAGUGGCAGAGAGAGGAGGCUGGCCGUGGUCCUGCACAGACACUACGAGGUUCUGUUUGAGAGCAUCUCUGUCCAUCAGGGCCCGAGCUGUGCUUAUCUCGCCCGUGUGCAGCCCCACGGAGAAGAGCCCUGGCUCGCUGGCCUUUAGCAGACGGAAGACCACUAGGAAUGAAGCAAGAGACCUGACCAUUUUCUCCAGAAUCUUGAUCUUGAACGUUUAGAAGAGCAAUUACUGUGCCCGAAGGAGAAUUUUCCGGCACUGAGUUACUGGCAGAGGUGACAGUUAUCUCUGGAGCGUUAUCAUUCACAUCUUCAACCGUGAUCAACAACGUGGUGGUGCUAAGCAGCCCUCCACCAUCCUGGCCUUGAAUUUCCAUCUCAUAGAAUCUGUAUUUUUCAAAAUCCAGAGGCUUUCCGACUAGAACCUCUCCAGUUUGAGACUUCAGUUGAAAUUUUUCAGAAGCUUUGCUUUGCUUUUUCCGGAAAGAGUACAUCACUUCCCCGUUGAUCCCCUCAUCUGGGUCUGAGGCAUUUACCACGAGCACCCGCGUCCCGGAGCUGAGGUUUUCAGGAAUACUCACUCUAUACACAGACUGUGUAAAUUUUGGGAUGUGGUCAUUGACGUCGAGGACCACCACGCGAAUGGGAACCGUACCCUUGCGGACGGGAUCUCCCCCAUCUAAGGCUGUGAGGAGGAGGUGGUGAGAUGCCUCUUUCUCCCGGUCCAGACCUUCCUCCAGCACUAGCUCUGGAUUCUUGUCCCCAUCAGUCCCGCCUCUCACCUGCAAGGAGAAAUAACUGCUUGGGCUGAGCUGGUAGCUCUGGAGGGAGUUCAUCCCUGCAUCUGGAUCCCUAGCGCUAGGAAGCGGAAAUCGCGACCCAGGACUGGUAUGCUCGCUGACUUUGAUCUCUAUUUCCUCUUCCUGGAAGCUGGGAGCGUUAUCGUUAAUGUCCAGUACUUCCACCUCAACUCCGUAAAUCUUCAGGGUUUCCUCCACGAGAAUUUCCAAAUUCAGCAUGCAGGAGGGCAUCGUAUCACAUAGCUCUUCACGGUCGAUCCUACUUGCAGUGACCAAGCUGCCGCCUCGCGGAUUCAGAGAGAAAAGCUGCGAUUGUCCCCUGGAGAUGAUGCGGACUCCGCGUUCCGCGACCUCCCAGGGCUCCAGCCCCAGGUCUUUGGAGAUGUUGCCUACGAAGAAGCCUUUAUCUGUUUCUUCUGGAACCGAGUAUCGGAUCUGUCCUGUCCCAAAGGUCAGCAGGGUCCCCAGGAAAAUGCACAGCGGGAUCAGCGCGCGGCGGUCCAGGCGCUGAGACUGAUUCGCCAUGGCUGGGUGUGAGCGUUAUUCCGUGAGGGUCUUGCGCCGGUUUAAUUUUUAUUUAUUUUUCUGAGUCAGCUUUUGUGUCUACGAGGUUCCAGGUAUCCCGCACCCAAAACAUAUUCCAAAGCGAACGGACGUGUUUUUACUUCCAGAGUUGAGAUGCGUGAGUAUCCAUCCCUUUCGGCUUUGUGUGGUAGAGGUUCCGGAGAAGUACUCAAUAGCUUUGUCCUCCCGUUCCCCGAUUGGUCAACAGCGGCGCCUAGAGCCCAAUCUUAUUAUUGCAACACUAACAAAAACCCGGUGUCUGUUGCGGAGAAAACUGUCACACUCACCUUUUCCGUGGAUCCUAACAUUUGUGAAGCCGACAACAGCAAACAACUGCUAUGUGAUGUGAUAUAAAAUUUACCAAGAGCACUUAUGAAAAGGGUAGUUAUUAGAUGGACUUGUUUAAUAAAAAAAACGUUUCAAAAUAACACUGGGACUUAAAAUACACAGGUUAGUUGUGAUUCCAGCUGGUUUUACUAACUGUAGAGACACGGCGUUUGUGAAUGAGAAGCCAGCAUGGUCCAGACGAAAUCCUCAGAAUCUCGAUCCCGUACCUUGAAGAGGGCCACAACAGUUCCGGAAGGGGAAUCCUCCGAAAUCUGAUCAGAGAGAGAAGUGAUGAUUAUUUCUGGGCAGUUGUCGUUCUCAUCUAGAACCUCUAUAAUUACUUUACACUGUGAAGAAAGAGAUCCUCGGUCCUUUGCCUCCACAUCAAUCGUAUAUUGUUCUACUUCUUCAAAAUCCAACGGCUGGCGAGUUACAAUAUCUCCUGUUAUGGGAUCCAGAGAGAACUCGUGCUGGGCUUUGUUAGCCACACCUAGGAAGGAAUAUGUAAAUUCUGCAUUGAUACCCUCGUCCUGAUCCAUUGCCUUUAGCCUUAGGACGGUCGUUCCUGUAGGCAAGUCUUCUGGAAGGCGGACUCUGUACACGUCUUGGCUGAACACUGGGGGGUUAUCAUUGGCGUCUAUCACUCGGAUUCGGAGCUGAGCAGUACCAGUACGGGGCGGGUCCCCAUCGUCUACAGCAGUCAGUACCAGGUGGUGUGUGCUCUCUGCUUCUCGGUCCAGCAUCUUUUGCAAUUCUAAUUCUGGGUAUUUACUACCAUCCGGAUUGUCUUUCACCAACAAUAAGAAGUAGUCGUUAGGACUUAACUGGUAUUUACUUAGAGAAUUC
ensembl:processed_transcript Gm26672 predicted gene, 26672